rnacentral:rRNA from 1 species
CCCUUAGAUGUUCUGGGCCGCACGCGCGCUACACUGAUGCAUUCAACGAGCCUAUCCUUGACCGACAGGUCCGGGUAAUCUUUGAAUCUGCAUCGUGACGGGGAUAGAUUAUUGCAAUUAUUAAUCUUCAACGAGGAAUGCCUAGUAGGCGCAAGUCAUCAGCUUGCGUCGAUUACGUCCCUGCCCUUUGUACACACCGCCCGUCGCUCCCACCGAUUGGGUGUGCUGGUGAAAUGUUCGGAUCGGCCGUUUGUCGCGGUUUCCGCGUCAUGUGGCUGAGAAGUUCAUUAAACCCUCCCACCUAGAGGAAGGAGAAGUCGUAACA